ACUUAACAAGAUUUGAGAUGGCAAGGUACACUUGAUUAUUAACUGCAUAGAGGACAAAGUAAGUCAGAUGUGUCAGGGAGACCCUCCAGCUGAGUCCCAAGGUUCAGAGUGGACCCCCUUGCUUUCUGAACUCCUCAGAUGGAAGAAUAAAGGAGCUUAGGUGCAGCUAAAUCCACUCCUAGUCCCAGACUUGGUCAUUGGUUUAUGUUUAAGGAUUGUACGUGCACAAUCAAUCUAAGAUAUAAUCUGAGUGAAGCUCACAGAGUUUAGCAAGCUAUUAAUCACUUACUGAGGAUCUGCUGAGGAUCUGCUGAUCUUUUGAUGAGUAUGGGACUUCUGCAGCAGGUGUGACCUUGAGAGGAAGCCUGACUCAAGGGGAGAGCCGGCUGUUCAUCCCAAGACUGUGCAGAAGAGCUCCAGGGGCUCAUGGCCUGCUCACUAUUUAUGGGUCCUAGGAGCUCUGUCAAGAAGUCUAUGAAGGAAUCUUCAGAACGGAAGCUACUGGAGAUAACCACUGAGAAAUGGUGCAUUGCAAGUACAUAUUUGGCAGAAUGGCAGAAGCUAUAGAACACUUUCUUCCUAAUUGCUCAGAUAACAUAAUGCAAUUCAAGAUGGAUUAUAAGGCUAUAAAAUAAAAAGCAUGAUCCUUAAACUGGAAAAUAAUUU
rnacentral:lncRNA from 1 species